AAAGAAUACAAAGAAUGGAAAUAUAAUACUAUGUUAUGUGUUAUGAAUCAUAUCAUGGUGACAAACAUACUAUUGAUUUCGAAAUAAUCAAACAGAGAGUCUACUCAUCUCUGUUUGCCUCGAAAAAGCGAGAAACUUGCCUUCCAUAUUGAUAGUGACUAGUGACUGCCGAAACCUGUGUAUAUGACUGCAUUCAUGAGUGUACAUUAUACUGAAGUUUGCAGAGUAUAAUUGCAUACUCGUCGUUAGUCGCGUGUAAGUUUACGUGUCCUAUAAGCCACGUCAAAAUAUUUGAUACAAUGGUGGAAAUCGAGUCUAUGACAAGAUAUGUCUCUCCCAUAAAUCCUGCAAUUUUUCCAUUACUGGCAGUGGUGUUACUAGGAAUUGGAAUAUUCUUUACAGCAUGGUUCUUUGUUUAUGAAGUUACUAGCACAAAAUUUACAAGGGACAUGUUUAAAGAAUUAUUAAUCUCUUUAGUAGCAGCAAUAUUUUCUGGUUUUGGUAUAUUAUUUUUACUCCUUUGGGUUGGAAUUUAUGUAUAG
rnacentral:misc_RNA from 1 species